UAAGACGUAGGGGGCAAGCGUUGUCCGGAAUUACUGGGCGUAAAGGGUGCGUAGGCGGCAAUUCAAGUCUGAUGUGAAAUACCCGUGCUUAACAUGGGUCUUGCAUCGGAAACUGAAUAGCUAGAGUGCAGGAGAGGUAAGCGGAAUUCCUAGUGUAGCGGUGAAAUGCAUAGAUAUUAGGAGGAACACCAGUGGCGAAGGCGGCUUACUGGACUGUAACUGACGCUGAAGCACGAAAGCGUGGGGAGCAAACAGG
rnacentral:rRNA from 1 species